rnacentral:rRNA from 1 species
CCGCGUGAGUGAUGAAGGCUUCGGGUCGUAAAACUCUGUCAAGUGGGAAGAACCUAUGUAAGGUUAAUACCCUUAUGUAUUGACGGUACCACUGAAGGAAGCACCGGCUAACUCCGUGCCAGCAGCCGCGGUAAUACGGAGGGUGCAAGCGUUAUUCGGAUUUAUUGGGCGUAAAGGGCGCGUAGGCGGUCUUGUAAGUCAGAUGUGAAAGCCCGGGGCUUAACCCCGGAAGGGCAUUUGAUACUGCGAGACUUGAGUAUGGGAGGGGGAAGUGGAAUUCCUGGUGUAGAGGUGAAAUUCGUAGAUAUCAGGGAGGAACACCAGUGGCCGAAGGCGACUUCCUGGACCAAUACUGACGCUGAGGCGCGAAGCGUGGGGACAAACAGGAUUAGAUACCCUGGUAGUCCACGCAGUAAACGGUGAGACUAGGUGUAGCGGGUAUUGACCCUGCUGUGCCGCA